GACGUAGGGGGCCAGCGUUGUUCGGAAUUACUGGGCGUAAAGGGUUCGUAGGCGGUGCGGCAAGUUGGGAGUGAAAUCUCUGGGCUUAACCCAGAGGCUGCUUCCAAAACUGCUGUGCUUGAGUGUGGGAGAGGCGCGUGGAAUUGCAGGUGUAGCGGUGAAAUGCGUAGAUAUCCGCAGGAACACCCGUGGCGAAAGCGGCGCGCUGGACCACUACUGACGCUGAGGAACGAAAGCUAGGGGAGCAAACAGG
rnacentral:rRNA from 1 species